GAAAGCGUGGGGAGCAANCAGGAUUAGAUACCCUGGUAGUNCACGCCGUAAACGAUGAGUGCUAGGUGUUAGGCCCUUUCCGGGGCUUAGUGCCGCAGCUAACGCAUUAAGCACUCCGCCUGGGGAGUACGACCGCAAGGUUGAAACUCAAAGGAAUUGACGGGGGCCCGCACGAGCGGUGGAGCAUGUGGUUUUAUUCGAAGCAACGCGAAGAACCUUACCAGGUCUUGACAUCCCUCUGACCGCUCUAGAGAUAGAGUUUUCCUUCGGGACAGAGGUGACAGGUGGUGCAUGGUUGUCGUCAGCUCGUGUCGUGAGAUGUUGGGUUAAGUCCCGCAACGAGCGCAACCCCUAUUGUUAGUUGCCAUCAUUCAGUUGGGCACUCUAGCGAGACUGCCGGUAAUAAACCGGAGGAAGGUGGGGAUGACGUCAAAUCAUCAUGCCCCUUAUGACCUGGGCUACACACGUGCUACAAUGGCUGGUACAACGAGUCGCAAGCCGGUGACGGCAAGCUAAUCUCUGAAAGCCGGUCUCAGUUCGGAUUGUAGGCUGCAACUCGCCUACAUGAAGUCGGAAUCGCUAGUAAUCGCGGAUCAGCACGCCGCGGUGAAUACGUUCCCGGGCCUUGUACACACCGCCC
rnacentral:rRNA from 1 species